ACUCGAACCGAGUAGUGAAAACCGGACUCUGGCGAGAGAUUGAAACGCAACUUGGUUUCUCGGAGAAAGAGCUGAGGAAGAAUUGGGAUUCUAUGCGAACCCAGUACACCCGGUACAGGAGACUUGCCCCUUCGGGUAGUUGUGGAGCACAAAGGACUGGCAGACAGCAGUGGAUCAUAACCAGGCUGCAGUUUUUAGAGUCCUACACAAGAAGGAAGGAGAGUACUUCGAACCUCACCAUCAUGGAACGUCCGGUGGCUGCAGAAUUAACCCCCGGUGGCACCAGCAGUGAAACCUGGACCAGCACCACUGAGGAGUCCUUCCACUUUGAUGCUGAGCCCUGCACUCCCCUGGCAGAAUCCACCAUCUGCACCACACCGGCACCGCUCGGCCUCGGAGAGAGGCCAAGCACACUCAGCACUCGAAGGCCUCCGGCGAAGCGCAUGAUGAUGAUACUAAAUGAGAUACUGUCUACCGCUGUUCAUUGUUCAAGAUUGAAAUGUAAAUGUGCAAGCCGUUUUUCUGCCCCUCUAUUCACAUGUAGCCUUUCAUACGUGAUGGUUUCUUCAUUCUCGAACUGUUGUGGAGCAGAACUAUAUACAGUUGCAGGAUUAGUCUCAAGUACCUCAAUAUAAUUAUAGUAUGGCUGCAUUUUAUGUGUUCAUCAUUCAUUCAUGUAUUUUAUAUUCUACUAAAACUGAAUCAAACCAUAAACAAGGUGGCCUGUUGGGAUUACUAUAUAUAAUAUAUCUGCAUUAUUUUAUCCCACUUUAUGCUUUGCUCU